GACGAACGCUGGCGGCGUGCUUAACACAUGCAAGUCGAACGGUGAAGCGCCUUCCUUUUUGGUGGGUGUGGAUAGUGGCGAACGGGUGAGUAACACGUGAGUAACCUGCCCCCUUCUUCUGGAUAACCGCAUGAAAGUGUGGCUAAUACGGGAUAUUCUGGGUCUGUCGCAUGAUGGGUCUGGGAAAGAUAUUGUUUCGGUGGGGGAUGGGCUCGCGGCCUAUCAGCUUGUUGGUGGGGUGAUGGCCUACCAAGGCGGUGACGGGUAGCCGGCCUGAGAGGGUGGACGGUCACACUGGGACUGAGACACGGCCCAGACUCCUACGAGAGGCAGCAGUGGGGAAUAUUGCACAAUGGGCGCAAGCCUGAUGCAGCGACGCCGCGUGAGGGAUGGAGGCCUUCGGGUUGUGAACCUCUUUCGCCAGUGAAGCAGGCCUGCCUCGUUUGUGGGUGGGUUGACGGUAGCUGGAUAAGAAGCGCCGGCUAACUACGUG
rnacentral:rRNA from 1 species